AAUAGGAGAAAACAAAAUGAACGAAGUUCAUUUUCUAGGAAUUUUUUCGACGAAAUGCCGCCGACUGAAAGGAGAAAUGAUUAUGGCAAGU
rnacentral:sRNA from 1 species